rnacentral:rRNA from 1 species
GAAUUGACGGGGCCGCACAAGCGGUGGAGCAUGUGGUUAAUUCGAAGCAACGCGAAGAACCUUACCAGGUCUUGACAUCCCGAUGCUAUUCUAGAGAUAGAAAGUUACUUCGGGUACAUCGGUGACAGGUGGUGCAUGGUUGUCGUCAGCUCGUGUCGCGAGAUGUUGGGUUAAGUCCCGCAACGAGCGCAACCCCUAUUGUUAGUUGCCAUCAUUCAGUUGGGCACUCUAGCGAGACUGCCGGUAAUAAACCGGAGGAAGGUGGGGAUGACGUCAAAUCAUCAUGCCCCUUAUGACCUGGGCUACACACGUGCUACAAUGGUUGGUACAACGAGUUGCGAGUCGGUGACGGCGAGCUAAUCUCUUAAAGCCAAUCUCAGUUCGGAUUGUAGGCUGCAACUCGCCUACAUGAAGUCGGAAUCGCUAGUAAUCGCGGAUCAGCACGCCCGCGGUCGGAUACGUUCCGGGCCUU